rnacentral:rRNA from 1 species
GAGUACAACCAAACCUCCGCAAUGGACGGGACCACUCCCUUAUCUAAGAGCCACACCUCUAAGAAUUAAAACACUAACAUAAAAUGAUCCAUGAUCUGAUCAAUGAACCAAGUUACCCUGGGGAUAACAGCGCAAUCCAUUUCAAGAGCCCUUAUCGACNAGUGGGUUUACGACCUCGAUGUUGGAUCAGGGUAUCCUAGUGGUGCAGCAGCUACNAAUGGUUCGUUUGUUCAACGAUUAA